AGAGUUUGAUCCUGGCUCAGAACGAACGCUGGCGGCAGGCCUAACACAUGCAAGUCGAACGCACCGCAAGGUGAGUGGCAGACGGGUGAGUAAUACGUGGGAACAUACCCUUUGGUUCGGAAUAGCUCAGGGAAACUUGGAUUAAUACCGGAUAAGUCCGUAAGGAGAAAGAUUUAUCGCCGAAGGAUUGGCCCACGUCU
rnacentral:rRNA from 1 species